rnacentral:rRNA from 1 species
AUUGAACGCUGGCGGAAUGCUUUACACAUGCAAGUCGAACGGCAGCACGGGGGCAGCCCUGGUGGCGAGUGGCGAACGGGUGAGUAAUACAUCGGAACGUGCCCGGUCGUGGGGGAUAACGUAGCGAAAGUUACGCUAAUACCGCAUACGAUCUGAGGAUGAAAGCGGGGGACCUUCGGGCCUCGCGCGAUCGGAGCGGCCGAUGUCAGAUUAGGUAGUUGGUGGGGUAAAGGCCUACCAAGCCGACGAUCUGUAGCUGGUCUGAGAGGACGACCAGCCACACUGGGACUGAGACACGGCCCAGACUCCUACGGGAGGCAGCAGUGGGGAAAUUUGGACAAUGGGCGCAAGCCUGAUCCAGCCAUUCCGCGUGCAGGACGAAGGCCUUCGGGUUGUAAACUGCUUUUGUACGGAACGAAAAGGCUCUGGCUAAUACCUGGGGCUCAUGACGGUACCGUAAGAAUAAGCACCGGCUAACUACGUG